CUACUGACCAAACCACAAGCCUCCUACAAGACACAGAAGCCUUGAGUAUUUUCAGCAUCAAAGUAAUAAUUGCAGAGGUUAUUUUUAAGAGACAUCUGAAAGGUCAAGCUACCAGGUUUUGUUCUGCUAACCAAAAGAGAGAGGAUUUACCAUGGCUUCCAAGAAAUCACAUGCUAAGAAGCAACCACAGCUUUUACAAAACUUACCAUGUAGAAAGUCAUGCUCAGAAGAUAUUUGCAAGGGAGAGAUGAAGAAGGCUGCAAGUGAGCAGUGGAAGACAGUGAGCUAAGCCAUGCAGGACUUUCAAGGCAGCAGAGGUCAGAUGGGCAGGGUCCCCCAGGGAGCUGAAACCUGAAUUCUCAGCAGGCACUGGCAUCCAGUGUGGAGAUGCCUGCAGA